rnacentral:tRNA from 1 species
GCGCUCGUAGCUCAGCAGGAUAGAGCACAGGACUUCUAAUCCUGUGGCCGUGGGUUCGAAUCCCUCCGAGCGUGCCA